rnacentral:lncRNA from 1 species
AGAAGUCGAUGAGUUUUGUGGAUUGAAAAAAUUUAGUUUAAUAAAUUUAAAAUUUUGCUUAAUAAUAAAAAAUAGAAGAAGUGCGGAAAAAACAAUAAAGAAAAAACAUGUUAUAAUCAUUUAAUAACACAAAAAAUGUGUUUGGCCUAAGCACGAACAAAUUAAUGAAGACAUCCGAUUUAAUUGACUAGCUAGUAAGAAUUUAGCACGUCAAUUUCUCUCUAUAAUCAAUUGCCACAUGAUUUUAUUUGAGAUUAUUUGCUUUGAUUCUCCUCUGUCUCGGUUUGUCACCAAAAGGCAGGCCUUUUGGAGUUUCCCAAACCUAACCAAACAUAAAAAAAUCAUCCAAGAAAAUGACACCAUGUUCGAUAAAUAAUAUUAUAUAUUCUUUUUUAUAACUUAAUAUAUAAAAGUAUAUACAUGUGAGUUCCACUAUUGUAGUAUGAAAAUAUAUAAACCAGAACUAAUAUACUUCAUCAAUGGUUAAUUAGGUAAAACCAAGCACGAGUUAGACAAAAAAAAUAUCUAUGACUAAUUAAAUAUUUAUAUAGCUGUCAAUAUACCAUAUCCAUACGACUCGUUAAAUUAAAUAUACAUGAUCAUGUACAUUUAUACCAUAAAAUCACCGAAUUAGCUUGAGUGUGAUAAUUGAAUUCGAUUUACCUAAUCUUAAACCUACAAUUAAUAUUUUUUUUGGGACCCGUAUACACAUGUUUUAUAGAUGUACAACUGAGCACAAAGUUAGGUGUAAAAUGAAACUUGACUGUUUUAUACUCCAACAGUGUUGAGUGUUCGUCACGUAAUAAUAAUGCAAGUGAUAAAAGAUUGCAGAUAAACUUUAUUUGUUUGUUAAAUGUAAAAUUUAGGGUUUUGACUUUUAAGUAGUGAAACUUUUUUGAAACUAAUAAAGAUAUUUCUUUAUUUGAAAAAUUGUCAAGACUUUGAAUAUAAUGUGCAUGUCUUAUGAGUGAAAAAGGUCACGGAUUAAAAAAAAUAUAGUCAAACAAUCAAAAUAUAAAGAAUUUAUAAGAAAUUUUAAAAAAUGGAUUAAUUCCAGAGGUUACUUAUCACAGAUUUGUUUGUUUUGAAUGAAAUAAAGAAGAGACAAGUUAGUGAGAAAUACGAAACUUCUCUUGUUUGAUUUGGAAAGAAGAAUGAGAGAGAGUGUGAAUCCCAUACACUUUUAAUUUCUUCUUUAAACAAGGAAGAAUUGUAUUAUUUCAUGUACUGCGGUUGUCAAUGUAUGGCUAACUACAUUAAUCAAAGCUUCAAGUUUUAUCAAACGGUGGGUGUUAUGUUGGUCGCCCACAAUGUCACAAAGCUUCGUAUUUUCAUAAAUUUUACGUUUUUUUUAAUAAACAUUGGGUUUUAUUU